UACGGGGGGGGCAAGCGUUGUUCGGAAUUACUGGGCGUAAAGGGCGUGUAGGUGGCCAAUUAAGCCCGACGUGAAAUCCCCAGGCUUAACCUGGGAACUGCGUCGGAUACUGGAUGGCUUGAAUUCGGGAGAGGGAUGCAGAAUUCCAGGUGUAGCGGUGAAAUGCGUAGAUAUCUGGAGGAACACCGGUGGCGAAGGCGGCAUCCUGGACCGGUAUUGACGCUGAGGCGCGAAAGCUAGGGGAGCAAACGGG
rnacentral:rRNA from 1 species